UACGUAGGGUGCGAGCGUUGUCCGGAAUUAUUGGGCGUAAAGAGCUUGUAGGCGGUCUGUCGCGUCUGCUGUGAAAAUCCGGGGCUCAACCCCGGACUUGCAGUGGGUACGGGCAGACUAGAGUGUGGUAGGGGAGAUUGGAAUUCCUGGUGUAGCGGUGGAAUGCGCAGAUAUCAGGAGGAACACCAAUGGCGAAGGCAGAUCUCUGGGCCGUAACUGACGCUGAGGAGCGAAAGCAUGGGGAGCGAACAGG
rnacentral:rRNA from 1 species